rnacentral:rRNA from 1 species
GAGACCCACGCCCACAGUUGCCAGCUUGUCCUCCGGGAUGGUGGGGACACUGUGGGGACCGCCUCUGCUAAAKAGGAGGAAGGAAUGGGCAACGGUAGGUCAGCAUGCCCCGAAUUAUCYGGGCUACACGCGGGCUACAAUGGGUGGGACAAUGGGUAUCGACACCGAAAGGUGAAGGCAAUCUCCUAAACCCAUCCGUAGUUCGGAUUUGUGGGCUGCAACUCGCCCACAUGAAGCUGGAAUCUGUAGUAAUCGUGUCUCAAAAUGGCACGGUGAAUAU